GACGAACGCUGGCGGCGUGCUUAACACAUGCAAGUCGAACGAUGAAGCCCAGCUUGCUGGGUGGAAGAGAGGCGAACGGGUGAGUAACACGUGAGUAACCUGCCCCUGACCCUGGGAGACGCGCUAGAAGGGGCGUCUAAUACUGGAUACGACCUAUCCCCGCAGGGUGUGUAGGUGGCAAGAGUUGGCGGUUGGGGAUGGACUCGCGGCCUAUCAGCGUGUUGGUGAGGUAAUGGCUCGCCAAGGUGACGGCGGGUAGCCGGCCUGAGAGGGUGGCCGGCCACACUGGGGCUGAGACACGGCCCAGACUCCUACGGGAGGCAGCAGUGGGGAAUAUUGCACAAUGGGCGCAAGCCUGAUGCAGCAACGCCGCGUGAGGGAUGACGGCCUUCGGGUUGUGAACCUCUUUUGGUAGGGAAGAAGCGCAAGUGACGGUACCUGCAGAAAAAGCACCGGCUAACUACGUGCCAGCAGCCGCCGUAA
rnacentral:rRNA from 1 species